rnacentral:rRNA from 1 species
UACGUAGGGUGCAAGCGUUGUCCGGAAUUAUUGGGCGUAAAGAGCUCGUAGGCGGUCUGUCGCGUCUGCUGUGAAAACCCGGGGCUCAACCCCGGGCUUGCAGUGGAUACGGGCAGACUAGAGUUCGGUAGGGGAGACUGGAAUUCCUGGUGUAGCGGUGAAAUGCGCAGAUAUCAGGAGGAACACCGGUGGCGAAGGCGGGUCUCUGGGCCGAUAUUGACGCUGAGGAGCGAAAGCGUGGGGAGCAAACAGG